rfam:Fukomys damarensis contig73102, whole genome shotgun sequence.
UGUGAUGUGGCUCAGUGGUAGAGUGCUUGACUAGCAUUCAUGAGGCCCUAGGUUCAAUCCCCAGUAUUAUAA